rnacentral:rRNA from 1 species
GAUGAACGCUGGCGGCGUGCCUAAUACAUGCAAGUCGAGCGAACCACUUCGGUGGUGAGCGGCGAACGGGUGAGUAACACGUAGGUUAUCUGCCCAUCAGACGGGGACAACGAUUGGAAACGAUCGCUAAUACCGGAUAGGACGAAAGUUUAAAGGUGCUUCGGCACCACUGAUGGAUGAGCCUGCGGCGCAUUAGCUAGUUGGUAGGGUAAAGGCCUACCAAGGCGACGAUGCGUAGCCGACCUGAGAGGGUGAACGGCCACACUGGGACUGAGACACGGCCCAGACUCCUACGGGAGGCAGCAGUAGGGAAUCUUCGGCAAUGGGCGAAAGCCUGACCGAGCAACGCCGCGUGAAUGAUGAAGGCCUUCGGGUUGUAAAAUUCUGUUAUAAGGGAAGAAUGGCUCUAGUAGGAAAUGGCUAGAGUGUGACGGUACCUUAUGAGAAAGCCACGGCUAACUACGUGCCAGCCGCCGCAGUAACAC